rnacentral:rRNA from 1 species
AUUGAACGCUGGCGGCAGGCCUAAUACAUGCAAGUCGAGCGGAGCGGCGGACGGGUGAGUGAUGCCUAGGAAUCUGCCUGGUAGUGGGGGAUACCGUCCGGAAACGGGCGCUAAUACCGCAUACUAUCAGAUGAGCCUAGGUCGGAUUAGCUAGUUGGUGGGGUAAAGGCCUACCAAGGAGACGAUCCGUAACUGAGCUGAGAGGAUGAUCAGUCACACGGGAACUGAGACACGGUCCAGACUCCUACGGGAGGCAGCAGUGGGGAAUAUUGGACAAUGGGCGAAAGCCUGAUCCAGCAAUGCCGCGUGAGUGAAGAAGGUCUUCGGAUUGUAAAGCACUUUAGGUUGGGAGGCGGUACCAACAGAAUAAGCACCGGCUAACUUCGUGCCAGCAGCCGCGGUAAUUC